GACGAACGCUGGCGGCGUGCCUAAUACAUGCAAGUCGAGCGGAUGGAAGGAAGCUUGCUUCCUAAAGUCAGCGGCGGACGGGUGAGUAACACGUGGGCAACCUGCCCCUAAGAUCGGGAUAACUUCGGGAAACCGGAGCUAAUACCGGAUAUGAUUAUUUUUCUCAUGAGAGAUAAUGGAAAGACGGUUUCGGCUGUCACUUAGGGAUGGGCCCGCGGCGCAUUAGCUAGUUGGUGAGGUAACGGCUCACCAAGGCGACGAUGCGUAGCCGACCUGAGAGGGUGAUCGGCCACACUGGGACUGAGACACGGCCCAGACUCCUACGGGAGGCAGCAGUAGGGAAUCUUCCGCAAUGGACGAAAGUCUGACGGAGCAACGCCGCGUGAGUGAAGAAGGUUUUCGGAUCGUAAAACUCUGUUGUUAGGGAAGAACAAGUACCAUAGUAACUGAUGGUACCUUGACGGUACCUAACCAGAAAGCCACGGCUAACUACGUGCCAGCCGCCGCAGUAAGAC
rnacentral:rRNA from 1 species